rnacentral:rRNA from 1 species
AGUGAACGCUGGCGGCAGGCCUAAUACAUGCAAGUCGAACGGCAGCACAGCAGAGCUUGCUCUGUGGGUGGCGAGUGGCGGACGGGUGAGGAAUACAUGGGAAUCUGCCCAGUCGUGGGGGAUAACGUAUGGAAACGUACGCUAAUACCGCAUGCGCCCUACGGGGGAAAGGCCGGGGACCUUCGGGCCGUGGCGCGAUUGGAUGAGCCCAUGUUCGAUUAGCUGGUUGGCGGGGUAAAGGCCCACCAAGGCGACGAUCGAUAGCUGGUCUGAGAGGAUGAUCAGCCACACUGGAACUGAGACACGGUCCAGACUCCUACGGGAGGCAGCAGUAGGGAAUAUUGGACAAUGGGGGCGAACCCUGAUCCAGCCAUGCCGCGUGAGUGAAGAAGGCCCUCGGGUUGUAAAGCUCUUUUGUCCGGAAAGAAAAGCAUCUGGUUAAUACCCGGGGUUUCUGACGGGUACCGGAAGAAUAAGCACCGGCUAACUUCGUGCCAGC